CUGAUUCUUUAAAAUUCCAUUUCUUUUAUAGUUAAUAUCGGUAUGAAUGCUAAUGCGUGGAACAUAGAUAUAUAUCGGACGGUAUGAUGUCUUGCCGUCUUUAUUUUGCGAGAAAUAUACGACAGGGGUGUAUUUUAUUUUGACAUCUACAAAGUCUCUAAAAGUAUUUCAUAAUAAUUUGUGUCAUAAUUCUUAUAAUAAAUUGUGCCAUUUAAAAAUAUAAGAGUAGAUUAUCUCCGGAAAUUAGUAAAAAAUAUUUCACAUCUUUCGGAGGCAAUAAUUCUAGUCAGAAGCGAAAAUCCGGAAAAAUUUAUCAAUUCAAAAUCGUCACAUUUUCUCAAAAGGAGAUUUAUCAAAUGUUCGAAAAAAUAGAGGAAAAUCAUUGAUAAUAGUGGCGAAUAUUCCGAGAAUUAAAAUAAAAAUGCGAGAAAAAUUA